CUGCUGACCCAGAACGCGCUCACGGCCAAGGUGACCGUGGCCUCCGGGACACCGUGGUGGCUUACGACGGUCUACGGCCCCCAGGAAGACGCUGAUAAGAUCCUGUUCCUCCAGGAGCUACGCGACAUACGUGCGGCAUGCCCCGACCCAUGGAUGCUCUGUGGCGAUUUCAACCUCAUUCUCCGGGACGAGGACAAAAAGUAUAAUGGCCUGCACCGACGCAUGAUGGGAAGGUUUCGCCGCGUCAUCAAUGACCUCGCCUUAAAGGAGGUCUAUCUCAAUGGGCGCCGCUUCACGUGGUCGAACAAGCAGUCGCCGCCCAUGCUGGUGCACCUGGACCGCGUCCUCUGCACCUCGGAUUGGGAAGAUGCGCACGGCGAGUGCCACCUCCGAUGUCUUGCUUCGUUCGUGUCGGACCACUGUCCGUUGUUGCUGGAUUGCUCCCCCAUGCCGACGGCUCGCAAGCGCUUCCACUUCGGGGACUAUUGGCUUCGGCUGGACGGCUUCCACGACACCGUUGCCACGGCCUGGAGCUCGGUGCACGACGACGACCCCUUCCGGAGGCUGGUCAAGCGCCUUCAGGCCACUGCCCGC
rnacentral:rRNA from 1 species